UGGGGGAUAUUGCACAAUGGGCGAAAGCCUGAUGCAGCGACGCCGCGUGGGGGAUGAAGGCCUUCGGGUUGUAAACUUCUUUUGCUCUGAACAAGGCGCACCAUGGGGUGUGUUGAGUGUAGGGGUUGAUUAGCGCCGGCUAACUACGUGCCAGCAGCCGCGGUAAUACGUAGGGGGCGGGCGUUGUCCGGAAUUAUUGGGCGUAAAGGGCUUGUAGGUGGCUGGUUGCGUCUGUCGUGAAAGCUCAUGGCUUAACUGUGGGUUUGCGGUGGGUACGGGCUGGCUUGGGGGCAGUAGGGGAGGCUGGAAUUCCUGGUGUAGCGGUGGAAUGCGCGGAUAUCAGGAGGAAUACCGGUGGCGAAGGCGGGUCUCUGGGCUGUUACUGACACUGAGGGGCGAAAGCAUGGGGGGCGAACAGG
rnacentral:rRNA from 1 species